rnacentral:rRNA from 1 species
GGGUUGUGAGGUUAAGCGACUAAGCGUACACGGUGGAUGCCCUGGCAGUCAGAGGCGAUGAAGGACGUGCUAAUCUGCGAUAAGCGUCGGUAAGGUGAUAUGAACCGUUAUAACCGGCGAUUUCCGAAUGGGGAAACCCAGUGUGUUUCGACACACUAUCAUUAACUGAAUCCAUAGGUUAAUGAGGCGAACCGGGGGAACUGAAACAUCUAAGUACCCCGAGGAAAAGAAAUCAACCGAGAUUCCCCCAGUAGCGGCGAGCGAACGGGGAGGAGCCCAGAGCCUGAAUCAGUGUGUGUGUUAGUGGAAGCGUCUGGAAAGGCGCGCGAUACAGGGUGACAGCCCCGUACACAAAAAUGCACAUAUUGUGAGCUCGAUGAGUAGGGCGGGACACGUGGUAUCCUGUCUGAAUAUGGGGGGACCAUCCUCCAAGGCUAAAUACUCCUGACUGACCGAUAGUGAACCAGUACCGUGAGGGAAAGGCGAAAAGAACCCCGGCGAGGGGAGUGAAAAAGAACCUGAAACCGUGUACGUACAAGCAGUGGGAGCCUCUUUUAUGGGGUGACUGCGUACCUUUUGUAUAAUGGGUCAGCGACUUAUAUUCUGUAGCAAGGUUAACCGAAUAGGGGAGCCGAAGGGAAACCGAGUCUUAACUGGGCGUUAAGUUGCAGGGUAUAGACCCGAAACCCGGUGAUCUAGCCAUGGGCAGGUUGAAGGUUGGGUAACACUAACUGGAGGACCGAACCGACUAAUGUUGAAAAAUUAGCGGAUGACUUGUGGCUGGGGGUGAAAGGCCAAUCAAACCGGGAGAUAGCUGGUUCUCCCCGAAAGCUAUUUAGGUAGCGCCUCGUGAACUCAUCUCCGGGGGUAGAGCACUGUUUCGGCAAGGGGGUCAUCCCGACUUACCAACCCGAUGCAAACUGCGAAUACCGGAGAAUGUUAUCACGGGAGACACACGGCGGGUGCUAACGUCCGUCGUGAAGAGGGAAACAACCCAGACCGCCAGCUAAGGUCCCAAAGUCAUGGUUAAGUGGGAAACGAUGUGGGAAGGCCCAGACAGCCAGGAUGUUGGCUUAGAAGCAGCCAUCAUUUAAAGAAAGCGUAAUAGCUCACUGGUCGAGUCGGCCUGCGCGGAAGAUGUAACGGGGCUAAACCAUGCACCGAAGCUGCGGCAGCGACGCUGAUGCGUUGUUGGGUAGGGGAGCGUUCUGUAAGCCUGUGAAGGUGUGCUGUGAGGCAUGCUGGAGGUAUCAGAAGUGCGAAUGCUGACAUAAGUAACGAUAAAGCGGGUGAAAAGCCCGCUCGCCGGAAGACCAAGGGUUCCUGUCCAACGUUAAUCGGGGCAGGGUGAGUCGACCCCUAAGGCGAGGCCGAAAGGCGUAGUCGAUGGGAAACAGGUUAAUAUUCCUGUACUUGGUGUUACUGCGAAGGGGGGACGGAGAAGGCUAUGUUGGCCGGGCGACGGUUGUCCCGGUUUAAGCGUGUAGGCUGGUUUUCCAGGCAAAUCCGGAAAAUCAAGGCUGAGGCGUGAUGACGAGGCACUACGGUGCUGAAGCAACAAAUGCCCUGCUUCCAGGAAAAGCCUCUAAGCAUCAGGUAACAUCAAAUCGUACCCCAAACCGACACAGGUGGUCAGGUAGAGAAUACCAAGGCGCUUGAGAGAACUCGGGUGAAGGAACUAGGCAAAAUGGUGCCGUAACUUCGGGAGAAGGCACGCUGAUAUGUAGGUGAAGUCCCUCGCGGAUGGAGCUGAAAUCAGUCGAAGAUACCAGCUGGCUGCAACUGUUUAUUAAAAACACAGCACUGUGCAAACACGAAAGUGGACGUAUACGGUGUGACGCCUGCCCGGUGCCGGAAGGUUAAUUGAUGGGGUCAGCGCAAGCGAAGCUCUUGAUCGAAGCCCCGGUAAACGGCGGCCGUAACUAUAACGGUCCUAAGGUAGCGAAAUUCCUUGUCGGGUAAGUUCCGACCUGCACGAAUGGCGUAAUGAUGGCCAGGCUGUCUCCACCCGAGACUCAGUGAAAUUGAACUCGCUGUGAAGAUGCAGUGUACCCGCGGCAAGACGGAAAGACCCCGUGAACCUUUACUAUAGCUUGACACUGAACAUUGAGCCUUGAUGUGUAGGAUAGGUGGGAGGCUUAGAAGUGUGGACGCCAGUCUGCAUGGAGCCGACCUUGAAAUACCACCCUUUAAUGUUUGAUGUUCUAACGUUGACCCGUGAUCCGGGUUGCGGACAGUGUCUGGUGGGUAGUUUGACUGGGGCGGUCUCCUCCUAAAGAGUAACGGAGGAGCACGAAGGUUGGCUAAUCCUGGUCGGACAUCAGGAGGUUAGUGCAAUGGCAUAAGCCAGCUUGACUGCGAGCGUGACGGCGCGAGCAGGUGCGAAAGCAGGUCAUAGUGAUCCGGUGGUUCUGAAUGGAAGGGCCAUCGCUCAACGGAUAAAAGGUACUCCGGGGAUAACAGGCUGAUACCGCCCAAGAGUUCAUAUCGACGGCGGUGUUUGGCACCUCGAUGUCGGCUCAUCACAUCCUGGGGCUGAAGUAGGUCCCAAGGGUAUGGCUGUUCGCCAUUUAAAGUGGUACGCGAGCUGGGUUUAGAACGUCGUGAGACAGUUCGGUCCCUAUCUGCCGUGGGCGCUGGAGAACUGAGGGGGGCUGCUCCUAGUACGAGAGGACCGGAGUGGACGCAUCACUGGUGUUCGGGUUGUCAUGCCAAUGGCACUGCCCGGUAGCUAAAUGCGGAAGAGAUAAGUGCUGAAAGCAUCUAAGCACGAAACUUGCCCCGAGAUGAGUUCUCCCUGACCCUUUAAGGGUCCUGAAGGAACGUUGAAGACGACGACGUUGAUAGGCCGGGUGUGUAAGCGCAGCGAUGCGUUGAGCUAACCGGUACUAAUGAACCGUGAGGCUUAACCUUACAACGCCGAAG